AUUGAACGCUGGCGGCAUGCUUUACACAUGCAAGUCGAACGGUAACAGGUUAAGCUGACGAGUGGCGAACGGGUGGGUAAUGCAUCGGAACGUGCCCGAUCGUGGGGGAUAACGCAGCGAAAGCUGCGCUAAUACCGCAUACGAUCUGAGGAUGAAAGCGGGGGACCGUAAGGCCUCGCGCGAUCGGAGCGGCCGAUGUCAGAUUAGGUAGUUGGUGGGGUAAAGGCUCACCAAGCCAACGAUCUGUAGCUGGUCUGAGAGGACGACCAGCCACACUGGGACUGAGACACGGCCACGACUCCUACGGGAGGAAGCAGUGGGGAAUUUUGGACAAUGGGCGAAAGCCUGAUCCAGCAAUGCCGCGUGCAGGAAGAAGGCCUUCGGGUUGUAAACUGCUUUUGUACGGAGCGAAAAGGCUCUCUCUAAUACAGGGGGCUCAUGACGGUACCGUAAGAAUAAGCACCGGCUAACUACGUGCCAGCCGCCGCCGUAA
rnacentral:rRNA from 1 species